AAAGUCGUAACAAGGUCUCCGUUGGUGAACCAGCGGAGGGAUCAUUAUCGAGUUACAAAACUCCCAAACCUUUGUGAACUUACCAUCGUUGCUUCGGCGGGAUCGCCCCAGGCGCGCCGGCGGUCUUUACGGACGCCGCGCCCUGGAACCAGGCGCCCGCCGAGGGACCCAAACUCUUGUCUUUAUAGUGGGAUAUUCUGAGUAUUAUACAAAUAAGCAAUCAAAACUUUCAGCAACGGAUCUCUUGGCUCUG
rnacentral:misc_RNA from 1 species